rnacentral:rRNA from 1 species
AAAAUUAAAGGUUUAAUCUGCCCAAUGAUAUUUGAAUGGCCGCGGUAACUUGACCGUGCAAAGGUAGCAUAAUUAUUAGUCUUUUAAUUGAAGGCUUGAAUGAAAGAUUGGAUGAAAAAUAAACUUUAUUAACAAGAAUUAUUUAAUUUAUUAUUUAAGUAAAAAUUCUUAAAUAUAUAAGUGGGACGAGAAGACCCUAUAGAGUUUUAUUUUUAUUUGUAUUAUAAGAUUUAAGAAUAAAUAUUUUUAUAGUCUAAAUAAAUUUUUUAUUGGGGUGAUAUUAAAAAUUAUUAAACUUUUAAUUACUAUAACAUUAAUAUAUGUAUUAUUGAUCCAAAAAUAUUUUGAUUAUAAGAUAUAAUUACCUUAGGGAUAACAGCGUUAUUAAUUUGAAGAGUUCAAAUCGAUAAAUUAGUUUGCGACCUCGAUGUUGGAUUAAGAAUAAAUUUUGGAGUAGUGUUUAAAAUUAUAGGUCUGUUCGACCUUUGAAUUCUUACG